rnacentral:rRNA from 1 species
AUUGAACGCUGGCGGCAGGCCUAACACAUGCAAGUCGAACGGUAACAGGAAGCAGCUUGCUGCUUUGCUGACGAGUGGCGGACGGGUGAGUAAUGUCUGGGAAACCGCCUGAUGAAGGGGGGUAACUUCUGGAAACGGUAGCUAAUACCGCAUAACGUUGCAAGACCACAGGGGGGGACCUUAGGACAUCUUUCCAUCGGAUGUGCCCAGAUGGGAUUAGCUAGUAGGUGGGGUAACGACUCACCUAGGCGACGAUCCCUAGCUGGUCUGAGAGGAUGACCAGCCACACUGGAACUGAGACACGGUCCAGACUCCUACGGGAGGCAGCAGUGGGGAAUAUUGCACAAUGGGCGCAAGCCUGAUGCAGCCAUGCCGCGUGUAUGAAGAAGGCCUUCGGGUUGUAAAGUACUUUCAGCGGGGAGGAAGGGAGUAAAGUUAAUACCUUUGCUCAUUGACGUUACCCGCAGAAGAAGCACCGGCUAACUCCGUG